rnacentral:rRNA from 1 species
ACAGCAGUAGCCGCGGGAAUACAGAGGGUGCAAGCGUUAAUCGGAAUUACUGGGCGUAAAGCGCGCGUAGGUGGUUUGUUAAGUUGGAUGUGAAAGCCCCGGGCUCAACCUGGGAACUGCAUCCAAAACUGGCAAGCUAGAGUACGGUAGAGGGUGGUGGAAUUUCCUGUGUAGCGGUGAAAUGCGUAGAUAUAGGAAGGAACACCAGUGGCGAAGGCGACCACCUGGACUGAUACUGACACUGAGGUGCGAAAGCGUGGGGAGCAAACAGGAUUAGAUACCCCGGUAGUCCCUGUCUCUUAUAC